CACGUUUCAAAAGAAGAGUUGGUGCCAAUGCUGGCAAAGAGAAAGCUCUGACAAAGGUAGGAGGAGAUACCCAGCUAAGAGGAGGAUUACUACAUGACUUCAAGCCACACAGAAUCCUAGCCUGGCAGCCAGUCCUCUGGAUGAAGAAGUUGCUUUUGAACAUCUGGGCAUUCCCCUGCUUCUUCUGCAGCUGGUAUCUCAAAUAAAUGUUAAAAACAGAUUGUUACGGGCACAGAACCAACAAGGAAAAGUGACAUCAUCCAUAGAAAAGGUUUGCUGCAGUUGUCAAUGUUUUUCUUAUUUGUUCAUGCCUACAAGUGAAAGUUACAUAUUUGUAAAUGAUCGAUGAUGUCAUUUUGCUGUUAAUGGACUUAAUUAUGUGUGCUUUUACACCUGUAGCAUAGCAUCUGGUACUGAUUAGAAGAGAUUACUGUCCACAG
rnacentral:lncRNA from 14 species